rnacentral:tRNA from 1 species
AGGAAGUUUAAAUUGAUUUGCAAUCAGUUAAUAUGGAAACAUACGAAUAG